UAAAAUGUAUAUUGUUUCAUUUGCUUCUU
rnacentral:piRNA from 1 species